rnacentral:tRNA from 1 species
GGGAAUGGGUUUAGUGUUAGAACUCCUGCCUAGCAAACAUGAGUGCAUAAGUUCAAUUCUUAAUAUUACCA